GCUUCAGUUGGUUUAUUUUCUAACAGAAAUAUUUUAGGCGAAAGUACAAUUUAGUACUAUGUAGUUUCACGCUUGUUGCGAGUAGGGGUUGUGAUUCACCUUGGUACUAUGUGAAUAACAACAUUAGAUAAUUCUGUGCCAAAUCUUGUUAAAAUGUUAAUUUAGCCUAUGUGGCAAGGGGAUUUGGUAUUUUUUAUUUGUUUCAUU
rnacentral:misc_RNA from 1 species